ACGCUCGACACCUACGGGAAGCAGCAGUAGGGAAUUUUCGUCAAUGGGGGGAACCCUGAACGAGCAAUGCCGCGUGAGUGAAGAAGGUCUUCGGAUCGUAAAGCUCUGUUGUAAGAGAAAAAGGGCGCAUAUAGGAAAUGAUAUGCGAUUGAUGGUAUCUUACCAGAAAGCCACGGCUAACUACGUGCUAGCAGCCGCGGUAAUCUGAGCGGGCUGGCAAGGC
rnacentral:rRNA from 1 species